rnacentral:misc_RNA from 1 species
GAUGAAGAACGUAGUGAAAUGCGAUACUUGGUGUGAAUUGCAGAAUCCCGUGAACCAUCGAGUCUUUGAACGCAAGUUGCGCCCGAAGCCAUCAGGUUGAGGGCACGUCUGCCUGGGCGUCACAUAUCGUUGCUCGAUGCCUAUCGCAUUGCGAUAGGACUUAGGGCGAAUGAUGGCUUCCCGUGAGCGUUGUUGCCUCGCGGUUGGUUGAAAAUCGAGUCCUUGGUAGGGUGUGCCAUGAUAGAUGGUGGUCGAGUUAUCACGAGACCGAUCAUGUGCAUGCUCCCCAAAAUAUGGCCUCUGUGACCCACACGCGUCUUUUGACGCUCAUGACGAGACCUCAGGUCAGGCGGGGCUACCCGCUGAAUUUAAGCAUAUCAAUAAGCGGAGGA